rnacentral:rRNA from 1 species
GACGAACGCUGGCGGCGUGCCUAAUACAUGCAAGUUGAGCGAUGAAGAUUGGUGCUUGCACCAAUUUGAAGAGCAGCGAACGGGUGAGUAACGCGUGGGGAAUCUGCCUUUGAGCGGGGGACAACAUUUGGAAACGAAUGCUAAUACCGCAUAACAACUUUAAACAUAAGUUUUAAGUUUGAAAGAUGCAAUUGCAUCACUCAAAGAUGAUCCCGCGUUGUAUUAGCUAGUUGGUGAGGUAAAGGCUCACCAAGGCGAUGAUACAUAGCCGACCUGAGAGGGCGAUCGGCCACAUUGGGACUGAGACACGGCCCAAACUCCUACGGGAGGCAGCAGUAGGGAAUCUUCGGCAAUGGACGAAAGUCUGACCGAGCAACGCCGCGUGAGUGAAGAAGGUUUUCGGAUCGUAAAACUCUGUUGGUAGAGAAGAACGUUGGUGAGAGUGGAAAGCUCAUCAAGUGACGGUAACUACCCAGAAAGGGACGGCUAACUACGUG